GGAGAGGUAACGGCUCACCAAGGCAUCGACGGGUAGCUGGUCUGAGAGGAUGAUCAGCCACACUGGAACUGGGACACGGUCCAGACUCCUACGGGAGGCAGCAGUGGGGAAUAUUGCACAAUGGGCGAAAGCCUGAUGCAGGGACGCCGCGUGAGGGAUGACGGCCUUCGGGUUGUAAACCUCUUUCAGCAGGGAAGAAGCGAAAGUGACGGUACCUGCAGAAGAAGCGCCGGCUAACUACGUACCAGCAGCCGCGGUAAUACGUAGGGCGCAAGCGUUGUCCGGAAUUAUUGGGCGUAAAGAGUUCGUAGGCGGCUUGUCACGUCGGUUGUGAAGGCCCGGGGCUUAACCCCGGGUCUGCAGUCGAUACGGGCAGGCUAGAGUUCGGUAGGGGAGAUCGGAAUUCCUGGUGUAGCGGUGAAAUGCGCAGAUAUCAGGAGGAACACCGGUGGCGAAGGCGGAUCUCUGGGCCGAUACUGACGCUGAGGAGCGAAAGCGUGGGGAGCGAACAGGAUUAGAUACCCUGGUAGUCCACGCCGUAAACGGUGGGCACUAGGUGUGGGCAACAUUCCACGUUGUCCGUGCCGCAGCUAACGCAUUAAGUGCCCCGC
rnacentral:rRNA from 1 species